UCCGUGCCAGCAGCCGCGGUAAUACGNAGGGUGCAAGCGUUAAUNGGAAUUACUGGGCGUAAAGCGCACGCAGGCGGUCUGUUAAGUCAGAUGUGAAAUCCCCGGGCUUAACCUGGGAACUGCAUUUGAAACUGGCAGGCUUGAGUCUUGUAGAGGGGGGUAGAAUUCCAGGUGUAGCGGUGAAAUGCGUAGAGAUCUGGAGGAAUACCGGUGGCGAAGGCGGCCCCCUGGACAAAGACUGACGCUCAGGUGCGAAAGCGUGGGGAGCAAACAGGAUUAGAUACCCUGGUAGUCCACGCCGUAAACGAUGUCGACUUGGAGGUUGUUCCCUUGAGGAGUGGCUUCCGGAGCUAACGCGUUAAGUCGACCGCCUGGGGAGUACGGCCGCAAGGUUAAAACUCAAAUGAAUUGACGGGGGCCCGCACAAGCGGUGGAGCAUGUGGUUUAAUUCGAUGCAACGCGAAGAACCUUACCUACUCUUGACAUCCAG
rnacentral:rRNA from 1 species